GACGAACGCUGGCGGCGUGCUUAACACAUGCAAGUCGAACGGAAAGGCCCUGCUUUUGUGCGGUGCUCGAGUGGCGAACGGGUGAGUAACACGUGAGUAACCUGCCCUUGACUUUGGGAUAACUUCAGGAAACUGGGGCAAAUAACGGAUAGGAACUCCUGCUGCAUGGUGGGGGUUGGAAAGUUUCGGCGGUUGGGGAUGGACUCGCGGCUUAUCAGCUUGUUGGUGGGGUAGUGGCUUACCAAGGCUUUGACGGGUAGCCGGCCUGAGAGGGUGACCGGGCACAUGGGGACUGAGAGACGGACCAGACUCGUACGGGAGGCAGCAGUGGGGAAUAUUGCACAGUGGGCGGAAGCCUGAUACAGAGACGCCGCGUGCGGGAUGACGGCCUUCGGGUUGUGAACCGCUUUCGCCUGUGACGAAGCGUGAGUGACGGUAAUGGGUAAAGAAGCACCGGCUAACUACGUG
rnacentral:rRNA from 1 species